UUAGCUCAGAGCAGCUGUGAGCAAGGAGCUUCGAGCCUCUUUGCUGGCUUUGCUGUGACUCCAUCCCUGCUGGGCACCGCUGUGGGCGCCGCAAGCCUGCAUGGGCGGGAGAAAUGUCCUUUUCUGGUGAACUGGCUAUGGCCUCACAUCGCUCCAACCAGGUCAGAAACGGGGAAAGACCCUUCUCCAGCCUAGAGAAAGAGAAGAAAAAAGACACGACUUCAUCCAAGACAUCACACUAGAGACGAAAUCUCUUUAGGGCUUGGCAGCUGUCUUCUUGGACAUGACAGAAGACAGCGGGCUGUGUUUGCCAUAUCCUAUGGAUCUCUGAUUGCACAGGAUGCCUGAUGAGCAAGAGCAAUGUCAGCUGAAUGACACCUCACCUUCCCACCCUGCACAUGGCUGUCUGAAUCACAGCAUGAAUGUGUCCUCACCUUGGUAUUUAUUCUAUUAUAGUUAAUGGUGGACGGGUUUUUUGUUAAAAAAAAAAAGUGAACAGAGCUAGCAGAAGGAAGUGGCUGAAUCUGAACCUGUGUGGCAUGGAAUUGUAUAAAACAGAAAAUGUAUAUGUAAAAGAGGACAUUGAGUUCGGAAGGAGAACAUGGUGGGGGUUCUAGAAGGAGUCAGAAGGGAGACUGGCUGGUAGAUAUGAUCAAAAUACAUUGUAUGCAUGUAGAAAAUUCUCAAAUAAUAUAUAGAUAAUUCUCAAAUAAAGCAAAGGAUGAUCACUGCAAUCUCAAUUAUUGCAGCCCGUAUUUUUUAGCUGCUCUGCUGGAGAGGUCAAUGAUAACCUGUAUAACUAGUUCUUCUGGCAGCUGGAAAGCUAAUGCAAUAUAAAUGACUCUGUCCAGGCAGCAAGAUCAUCAGUGAAAAGAAAAACAGCCAAAUCCAAAGGCUUUCUCUAUAGAAAGAAAUCUCUCUAGCUCCCCCUUCUGAUUAAUAAAGGUAAAUGCCACU